ACUUGUAAGUCACUUUGAACCCAGGGAUAACAAGCCUUUAGAAAACAAACAUAGCACUCUUUUUUUCUCCCAGUAGAAUGAAUGAAUACGAUUCUAUUUGGCAAUAUCAAUAUAACUGAGUUAUGUCCAAUAAGAUUGCAUUAUAGUUGAAACUUUUAUCCAAACUUAAGAACUCCAAACUUU